rnacentral:misc_RNA from 1 species
UUUCCGUAGGUGAACCUGCGGAAGGAUCAUUAACGAAUAUCGUGCGGGGUUGAAGCUGGCCUCUCGGGGCAUGUGCUCGCCUUGUUCAUAUCCAUCUCACACCUGUGCACACUCGCGUGGGUCGGUCGGGCUCUUUUUUGCGCCCUUCCGAGCCGCGUCUUCUCACAAUCUCUUCGUAUGUCUUCAGAAUGGUAUCAAUGCUAUAAAACGCAUCUUAUACAACUUUCAACAAUGGAUCUCUCGGCUCUCACAUCGAUGAAGAACGCAGC